rnacentral:rRNA from 1 species
UACGUAGGGGGCAAGCGUUGUCCGGAUUUAUUGGGCGUAAAGCGCGUGUAGGCGGUCCGGUAAGUCCGCUGUGAAAGUCGGGGGCUCAACCCUCGGAUGCCGGUGGAUACUGUCGGGCUUGAGUACGGAAGAGGCGAGUGGAAUUCCUGGUGUAGCGGUGAAAUGCGCAGAGUAUCGGGAGGAACACCAAUGGCGAAGGCAGCUCGCUGGGACGGUACUGACGCUGAGGCGCGAAAGCGUGGGGAGCAAAGCAGG